rnacentral:tRNA from 1 species
GGAGAGAUGGCUUAGAGGUUAAGGCACUGGCUGCUCCUCCAUAGGACCUGGGUUCAAUUCCCAGAACUCACCA